GACGAACGCUGGCGGCGUGCUUAACACAUGCAAGUCGAACGGAAAGGCCCUGCUUUUGUGGGGUGCUCGAGUGGCGAACGGGUGAGUAACACGUGAGUAACCUGCCCUUGACUUUGGGAUAACUUCAGGAAACUGGGGCUAAUACCGGAUAGGAGCUCCUGCUGCAUGGUGGGGGUUGGAAAGUUUCGGCGGUUGGGGAUGGACUCGCGGCUUAUCAGCUUGUUGGUGGGGUAGUGGCUUACCAAGGCUUUGACGGGUAGCCGGCCUGAGAGGGUGAACGGCCACAUUGGGACUGCGAUACGGCGCAGACUGCUACGGGAGGCAGCAGGGGGGAAUAUUGCACAAUGGGCGGAAGCCUGAUGCAGCAACGUCGCGUGCGGGAUGACGGCCUUCGGGGUGUAAACCGCUUUCGCCUGUGACGAAGCGUGAGUGACGGUAAUGGGUAAAGAAGCACCGGCUAACUACGUG
rnacentral:rRNA from 1 species